rnacentral:rRNA from 1 species
UACGGAGGGUGCGAGCGUUAAUCGGAAUUACUGGGCGUAAAGGGCGCGUAGGCGGCUCAGUCAGUUGGGUGUGAAAGCCCCAGGCUCAACCUGGGAAUUGCAUCCAAUACUGCUGGGCUAGAGUGUGGUAGAGGAAAGCGGAAUUCCCGGUGUAGCGGUGAAAUGCGUAGAUAUCGGGAGGAACAUCAGUGGCGAAGGCAGCUUUCUGGACCAAUACUGACGCUGAGGUACGAAAGCGUGGGUAGCAAACAGG